rnacentral:rRNA from 1 species
AGCGAACGCUGGCGGCAGGCCUAACACAUGCCAGUCGAACGAACCUUUCGGGGUUAGUGGCGGACGGGUGAGUAACACGUGGGAACGUGCCUUUAGGUUCGGAAUAACUCAGGGAAACUUGUGCUAAUACCGAAUGUGCCCUUCGGGGGAAAGAUUUAUCGCCUUUAGAGCGGCCCGCGUCUGAUUAGCUAGUUGGUUGAGGUAAUGGCUCACCAAGGCGACGAUCAGUAGCCGGUCUGAGAGGAUGAUCAGCCACAUUGGGACUGAGACACGGCCCAAACUCCUACGGGAGGCAGCAGUGGGGAAUCUUGCGCAAUGGGCGAAAGCCUGACGCAGCCAUGCCGCGUGAAUGAUGAAGGUCUUAGGAUUGUAAAAUUCUUUCACCGGGGACGAUAAUGACGGUACCCGGAGAAGAAGCCCCGGCUAACUUCGUG